UACUUUCUUAUUCCUCUCUCCCUGAUCUGCUUUCUCUCUCUUUAUCUUCCCCGACAAUAGAUCCAGUUUGAACGUUCAGAUCUAGAGUUCUCUUUCACUCUAUUGGACUCUCCUUCGUUUCCUGUUUCUCUCCCCACCGGCCGAAGGAACUAAGCGGUGGACUAAACUUGGUCUGCUCCGGGGAGCCAUUAUUCAAUUGGGUCUCUCAACCCAGAUGUAAGGUGUAAAUUGGGUAUUUCAACUUGCCUCUCCUCCGAUAUUCAAUUGGGUUUGGAGACCACAUGAAGACAAAUAAAUCUCUAUGAACUCUCUCUUUCUCUCUCUCUAACACCGAAUUCGUAGAGUAAAACUGUAAAAAAACAAUUAGUGAACCAGAGAUUCCCAAAGAUCUACAAGCACUUUCUUGAAUUCUGUUUAAAAAAAAAAAAAAAAAAAAAAAAGAA